ensembl:lncRNA
AUGGUGAUGACCUUUGACCUUGAAUUUCUGCCUAUAAAGUUUCUCCUUCCUGCUGUUCUAAACUUUCCAUUUUCCUUUUGCUAUUCCAUCUGGAUGAACAAAGACUGCAUCGCGAUCUGGGAAGAGCAUGUAAAGAGUCACUCAAACCCAAAGACGUCGACUGUGUUACUUCCUAAUUCAAUGAAUUUGGGGUUUUCUGAGCCAUAGUUAACUAAGCAGUAUAAACUGGACAUUAAUAUCUAUUUUAGAGUUGUUGUGAGAUUAACUAGCGGCCAUAACAUAUAUGUCACAAAAUAGAAACUAAAUUUACAGUGACUUUCCUUUUCUUCAAAUCACCCACACGAUUGUAUUUCCUGUAAUAUCUUUUAGUACUUUGGGAUUUAGGAACUAUUUCUUAUUCCUGUCUCUUGUUCAUUCUCCUCUAUCUUUAAUUUUUCUUUAAAUGUUAAGCAAGUAUUAACAUAACAAAUGGUAUGAAACCAUUUUAAGAAAAGCCUGUAUACAAAUAUGUAAUUAGAAGUUGAUAAAUUAAGGUGUGAUGAAUUACAUAAAAUGAUCCACAGAAUUAUUCAAUACUGAACCUGAGAGAAACAUGAGAAAUAGCUGGUACAAUCCUCUAGCUUUGCAGAAGAGGAAACCACAAUCAGAGAAGUGACUUGAUUUGCUUAGGGGCAUAUAGUUGCCAUUUUUCUAAUGUAAAGCACUCGUGCAUUUCAAAUAAUUAACAGUUUUUAAAAUUUUACUUUCAUAUUUUGUUUAAAAAGCUAAUAUUAAGUAAUCUAUUUUUAAAAACAAUUACAUAAAGUUGAAGAUGAUUCUUUUUAUAUGUGUGGGGUUUUGUACACAAGGGCAUGGUUUUAUCUUAAUAAUCAUUUCUCAGCUACACUGGAGUUUCGUGUGUGCAUUAUACUUCACAUCCACAGGGAGUUUAGCUCUACUCUGGGGUUUUUGAAUGACUGCUCUAGGUGGAGAUCAUGGAACAUGUCUGCCUCUUAACUAGAUUCAAUAUCUGAACCUGUAAAACUUUAGACAGAAUUCAACCUGAAACCAGUAAGGAAAGAACUACCAGAAUAGAUAUUUCAGCAUCUUAAUGAGUCUAGAAUUGAAGCAAGCCUGUAGAAGGGAAAAUCCUCCCCAAUUAAACCUAGUCCUUGAAAAAGUGAUUAGAUAUUUCAGAAGAUUAAAAUAGCAUCCGUAAUAAGUUAUCUGAAUGUAGGUAAGAAUCAGGAAGAAAAGACAAUUCUCGGUUCUUCUUCCUAAAUAUUUCUCUCCCAUCUUCCCCAUAAGGAGCCCCACUCCUACCACAGAGACCAAGGUAACUACUUGAUAAUUCCUUCUUCGCAGCUAUUUUCUAAUGAGCCUGAUGGAGAAUUCGCAGAUUAAUGCCAAUCUCUUCAAAUAACUGCAUAUGAUGAAAAGGAAACAGUGGCGUGGUUUGUCCGUGUGGCAGGUUUUUAAUAUUAAUGCAAAAAAUAUGUACUGGAAAGUGAAAAACAGAUAUGAGAAACUAAGCUGUAUCAUUCAUAUAAGAAUACAAUUUUGUAUAUUCAUGACCGUCGUGAUAUUUCAUUGGUCUUCAGAAUAACUUCAGAAUAACAUCAAACCAUCUAAAUCUGAUAAUAUGUUUGUUCAAUAAUGACCCUCACACAGCUUAUUGAAUUUUUGCCCAAAUGGCGCUGGUUGAGGUCCAGGGAAGCUCUGAGUUUAAAAGAAGAACCUGAGGAACAAAAAAAAGAAUAAUAAUUAGGUACAAGCUUUUUUAAAUUUAUGUUUAUCCUAAGCUCAUUAUUUUGCCAUUUUAAUAACAGUUAUAUAUUUUGUGGAGCUCCCAUGAUACCUUAAACAUAAACCUACACAAAGUGGAUAUUCAGUAUCUAUGACUUAGGAGAUUGGCUGAUCUAUUUCAUCUCUUUCCUUCUCAUGGUUGUUCAGUAAGUCAUAUAGUAACUACUGUAGUUGCUGUAUCGAAGUCGUCAAGAGAAAAAAAUAUUUUUUUCUCCCUUGAACGGUUAUUUUCUGCUUACACAGCACACUUGUCAAAGCCCUUGAAUAUUUCAGCAUAGGCAUCAGAUAAACAUAUAAAUAGCUAGAUAAAUAACUGACAAAACACUGCAAAUUAUUUGGCAGUAAAUAUAAGCACACCACAAAUUGCAAGGUUAAUACUUAACAUCUUUCAAAAACUGCUUCUAAACUAAGACUGUACUAUUAACAUGAGAUUAUGGGAAAGGAAUUUAUAAUAUUUAAAAGUUAUUUGACUGUUAGUGAAUAUUUUCUAAUUUCUGAGUAAAAACAGUAUGGCAUGAUUCAAUUAUGUGAGAAGAUUGAAUUAUUAAAAAAUUAUCAAAAUCAAAGACUCUUCUGUUUGUAUUAUGAAGGAUUUGGGGUUACAUUGUAAACAAGGACUAGAAAGAACACAUACAGUUUAAGUAGCAGUCAGGACCAGUGGAGCGUAAUUUUUGGCAUGCUUAAAAUGAUUAUGAAAUUAAGUAAGGAAAUUAUAAUGCCCAAUUUUCUCUGAAAAGAAAUGCUAUAGAUACCAUAAACAAGACACCUGUGGGUGAUAAAAAGACUAAAAUAAAAAAAUUCAUCCCUGAAUGAUGACAAAUCACUGCAAAUAGUGUGCUUUCUAUCGGAAGCACAAUCCUGUAUGUUCAUAGGCCAGCCCUGUCAGGUGCAUUGGUGGGCCAUCCUGCUGUGCACAUCCUCAGUGUGACACACACCAGGCAGAGAUGGUGAUGUACAGAAGCCAAGAAAAUUUCCACUACAUGUCAUGAUCAUGAGAGCCACAGCCUAGCUGCUGCUGAAUGGUGGCAGCAGAAACUUCAGUCAACAUAUUUUAACCUUCAGAGUUAUUCAGGCACAUUCUGAUCUCACCAAAUGAGCUGAUAAGAGUGAAGUACAAGCUUGGCGUCAAACAGCUGUUUCCAAAUAACCAAUAGGAGGCAAGGCAAAGGAGUGCUUUCUUUCUGUUUUUAGAUACAGUCAGUGCUUUUCAAGGCUAAAACUCCAACAACAGUUUUUCCAUUGCAUAAAACACAAACAGCUAACCUUUUAAAUAUAUCAGAACACAGCAGGGCAAUAAAAAUAAAAGGAAGAAGAGAAGAAGAAGAAAAAGAAGAAAAGAAAGAAUAAGUUAAAUGUUAUAGUGUAAAACCAGCCAGGUUCUAAGGUCAAAGCACUCUGUGAACAUUAGAUUCUGCAGUUCAAGUGAAUCAAAUUCAAGUCAAGCUGGUUCAAUGUUUCACUUGAAAUGUUUUGUCCUUUUUUGCUUGUUGCUUAUCCUGAAAUCUGAUCUACUUCCAGGUUUAAUGCAGGGGACAGGCAAAAAGCUGACCUAUCCUUAGUAUUAAAGGGGAUUGCACUAAGUGUGGGGGUAAGAGCAAUAAUUCCACAGCUUCCUUCUUGGAAACAGGCCCAGCUUGAAGAAAUAAAAAUAGAAGUGUCUGAAUGCAACUAAAAAGCUCAGCCACAUGGAAUUAAAAUGCCAAUUCCCUUUAGCCUUUUUUUUUUUCAGUCAUCAAAAUUCCAAAGCCCACAAACUAAAAAGCUCUUACAGUCCAGUAUCUUUUCUGGUAACCCAUCAAUGGAAGUCACAUUGAUCCAAAAUGACUGCAUAUUGAGUAGUUUCAACCAGGCUGUACUCAUACUUUAAAAAAAUUAUUAAGUUUAAAUUGCAGAUAAACAAAUACAUAUGCCAAAGAGCACUAGAGCUCCAGGACAGGCCUCAUCUAGUUGAUGGUCAUCCUUUUGAUUCCAAAAU